AUGGAGGCUACACAAGUAUAGGAGCCUGAAGAAAGUAGGGAGAUCACUAUUCCUGACUCAGAAAACAGGAGCCAUCACAGGACUUCUCCAUCAGUACCUUCUAACAGUUUGAUGGAUGUCAAAAGCUCCUUGGAUUGCCUCCCCUGAUUCCCACAUUGUGGAUUCCACUGUUAAAACAUCCUGUACACGGUCCGGAGCCGAAACACUGAGGUCCCUUUGGAGAUUCCAGCUUUGAAUGGAAAAUGAGCAUCUCUGCGACUUAAAACCACUUCACUGAGCAAUGCAUCUCUGUCCCUGAGAUUUAGUAUGACCUCCCAGAAAGUUCCCUGUUGAUCCUGCUUUUGUGAAUGUUAUUUUCAGCCAAAGCUACAGAGACGCAUUGGGUGCCAGUGACAGAAUAUUCGGAUCAUUUUUGGCUAAGAACACCAUCCACUGGAGUAUUAUAGUAACACUGUCACAGAAGCACCGAUUGAUUUCAAAGAGAACGCUGCAGAGAUCGUCUGCCAUGUGAAGAGAAUUACAAUUGGACCCAAAGGUUUGACCUCCAGCCUGCUUCUGUGUAAGAAUCAAUCAGUAACCAAUUUAGGUGAACUGGAUUUUCCAUCUUGUGGGCCCUGGUUCCUGGUUUCUUUUGCAACCAGAGUCUUGAAUCUGAGCAACUGUUCACUCUGGCCUCUGACCAGGAUCAGCAGAACUUAAGUCUACUCCAGCAGAAUGAGUGACCUAGGGACUUCUACGAAAAAAGGAUGUCAUAAAAAACUUUGUGAAAAAUGAAAUUUCUCUGCUUCUACUCUUAAAGUCUGUUCAUUUUGGAAACUAGGAAUUUUCUAGUAAAAAGAAAUUAAUGAAUAAAAUCAGCAAUUUCUAAUCUAUAUUUGUA
rnacentral:lncRNA from 1 species